rnacentral:lncRNA from 1 species
CUUUGGAAACUAAAUCAUCUUAAACUUUAUAAUGUUGAAGGCCUUGAGAGCCUUAUCAUCAUUAAAUAGCUUCUAGAGGCACUCAAUGUCAUUCUCCAACUCAUCCUUCAAUGCCAUGCAGCAUGCCGACGAUGGAUGCCUAUCGGAGUAUAGGAGUUCACAUAUGGCAUCAGCUUUACUAUGCAUGGCUUCACUUGAUCAUCCUAAGAUAGGGUAAUAGAAGCCCAUG